rnacentral:lncRNA from 1 species
CUGGGGAUAACAAAGGUAAGUCAUGAACAAUCUUCAGUCUGAGUACUGAAAACAACUUCUAGCUUAUCACUUGGGAUACCGAGAAUGUUUUAUGCUUACAUGCGUAUGUUUGAAUUUUCCAAUUGCGUAAUGCAACAUGAAAAUGGAAAUGCUACGCGAUUUGGAAGGAUGCAAUGCAAUAUGAUUCUACAUGCAGGGAUGCGAAAUGCUGGGUAGAAUGCCAAGAUGAGGCAAGGGGAUCUGUUGGGGAAAUGAUCACCAUCUUCUGGACCCUGGCAAGGCUGCUGGAGAUGCACAUCGCAAAGAAUUAUGUGGGGAAAUGACCCGCCACACGGUGUUCUAGCAAUGACGAAAUGCCGAGAUUCAGACUGGGGAUAGAACGACACUGAACACCUGUUGUUGGGGAAAGCGAUAGUGGUUCUGGCAACCACGAUCUGCGAGAGAUGACUCAGCAGGGGAAGCAAACACUGAUACGGUACCGGGGUUCUGCUUCAAGGAAAGAAACCAUGGAUCUGGCAUUGGGAUUAUCGAUCUGGCAUCGAACUCUAAGGAGCAGCCACUUCUGCUGGGAAGAUACAGUCUGGCACUGUCAACUCCGCU